rnacentral:misc_RNA from 1 species
UUAAGUUCAGCGGGUAUCCCUACCUGAUCCGAGGUCAACCUGAGAAAAUGGGCGCGAAGCCCGGUUUGUCCGGCGGAUGAAGCCCAAACUCACAAGCGAAUAAAAUUUACCACGCUUAGAGAAAGGCACCACCGCCGAUAGCUUUGAGGCACGCCGGAGACCGACGAAGCCCAAUACCAAGCAGAGCUUGAGGGUUGUAA